UACGUAGGGGGCAAGCGUUGUCCGGAUUUAUUGGGCGUAAAGAGCGUGUAGGCGGCCUGGAAGGUCAGCUGUGAAAACUCGAGGCUCAACCUCGAGACGUCGGUUGAAACCACCUGGCUAGAGUCCGGAAGAGGAGAGUGGAAUUCCCGGUGUAGCGGUGAAAUGCGCAGAUAUCGGGAAGAACACCCGUGGCGAAGGCGGCCCUCUGGGACGGUACUGACGCUGAGACGCGAAAGCGUGGGGAGCGAACAGG
rnacentral:rRNA from 1 species